ACACCUCCCGGGAUGGUGACUCCACCACCUCCUGGGCAGCCCAUUCCAGCACAUGACCGCUCUCUCUCCUUUCCCCAAAAUACUGAUCAAUGAUUGCUAUCUCUUUUUUGUUUUCUUCAUAAAAGGGAUGUCCCACACAUCCUGACAACAGGAGCCUUUUCUUACUGGCUCCAGUUAGACUAGAUGAAUAAUUUACAUAGCAAACAGUUUAUUAGUAGAUUACUCCAGGACUCUUAUCACAAAGACAAUAUGAAGAAAAAAAAAAAGGAAUAACAAAAAAGAAGCUGUCUGAAAAGAUCCCGUAUAAUUAAACUUCCAAUACACAAAUGAAAGCAAAGGAAUCUUAUUAGCAUGAUAAUAAUAAUGGAAGUAUUAUCAUUGAAUUAUUUAAUUAGUAGCUAGAUUGACAUUGUUCUUACAUGUUUGAUAAACAGGUUUUUGCAGUCAGCAUGAUUAGCACUCUACUUCCAACACUUACAGGCUGUGAAAACACCCUAGCAAGUUACAGUCAUCAUUUGAGAGCUGAAAAGCUGAUAUGGCAUUAUCAAAACGUUAUCCUCAGGGAGUCCUCAGGGUGAGGGGAACUUGGACAUUUCAGCAGUGACGCAGCAGCUGAGGGAAGGAGAAGCAACAGGUUAAGCAGCAUCAGCAGAAAGUGGCUGUUACUGAAGAGGAUAUUUGAAGAAAGACAAUGCAGUCUUUUUUACUUUAGUGAAUCAACUUUUUAACUCGCAGAGAAGGCUUCUUUCUCUCAUUUUGAUAUUAGCUAUGUUUGGGAAGUAUUGAGCUUUAUCUUUGCUCAAGGAUAGUAACAUUUAAAUGUGUUUAUUAUUUACUUAAUUGUUGCUGCUAAAUUCUGUGAUUCUUCUUUUUCUUUCCUUUCACGACUUUUUAGUAGCAUAAACUGCUCCAUCUCUUGUUUGAUUCUGUGGGGAACAGUCCCACACACCUCUGCUGUACUUUUAUAGAUUUCUUGUCAGUGCUGUUAAAUUGCUUCAGAGUAGAGAAGGAAGGCUAUGGGCCCAAGUGAUGGUCUCCCUCCUAAAUUUCAUUACAGAGGGCUAGAAUCAAAAUAUACUGAAGUUGUGGAGAAUUUUUGUAUUGACUUUGGAUCAAGCUAUAAAUUUUUAUUAAAAAAAACAGCUCCACUGAUUCUUUAUCUCCCAAGCAGUGUGUGCUGUGUAAUCUAUGAAUAAUUCCAGCCGUGACUUCUUUCUCUCAUAUUAAGGUACCAUUUCUGAUGUCAGCAUUGACGGGGUAAUAAUAUCAGCUGAAUGAGUGAUAAGAAUUCAGAGCCGUUGCAGUAGCCUGAACAUUAAUAACUGUAAUGUCUAAAGAGGAGGGCUAAUACAUUUAAAAUAAGAAGUGGAAGUGGAAGUAAUAUUUUUCAUUUCAGUAAAACAAAUGUAUGGGAUGACUGGAGCACUCAGUUCCAAUGCUUCAUAAGAUGCAAUUAAGCAGUAAUUUGAUUAUUUGAGUUCUGUUUAUUUUGACCUUUCAGCCACGUAGGAAAGGUUUUCACCAGUCAAAGUAGAGAAUUCAAUAAAAACAGAGACUUUAAGCAUAGUGAAUUUCAGGGAGGGGAGAGAUGUUCUGCAGACAUGUAUCUAGGCAGAGCACUUUCCUGCAGCACAAUUCUGAAGACAAAUGAGUAGGCAUCCUAAUUUCUUCCUUGUCCAGAAAGAAAAAACUGAGAAUGCAAAUCAGGAUUCCUUGAUUCUGAGCUAGUUUUGUGCUAGCUUUGUGUUUGGCCACUGUGGAGUUACUUGAAAAAUAAAAACAUCAUGUACUUCCUUAAUUCUCAUUAGUUUCCCGAUAGGUCAACAAAUUGUGCACAAAACAAUUAGUUUGAUGACUGAUUAGAGAUACUAAUGCCUGAACAUAAAUCUGCAAAAGCUCUCGCAAGUCCCUUGUUCUCCAGAAAGACCAUCUCAGUUAAAUUAUCCAUUCAAAGCGCCUUUAUGAAGUUUGUUUUCUUAGAAUGUUGCAAGCAGGGCUGAUUGCCUGUACUGGAACAUGGUGCUAAUGGAAGAUGAGCCCUCCUGCACUGUCGUGGCUCCUUUGGAGUUUAGCUGUGGAUUUCUGCAUAGCUUUAUGUUAUGCCACAAGAACAGGUAUUGGAUAAUUUCUAUAACUGUAUUAUUUUUCAGAUACAGUGUAUCAACUGGGAAGAAAAUAUAGCAUUGUAAUCCAUAAAGAUGAAUCAGUGCACUUCUAAGAAAAAAAACUCUUAAUUUAUCAAAAAUUUCAGGACAUGAGGUAGCUUUUAAUGAAGUCAGUGGCAAAUUUUUUUCUGUUUUUAUGGCAUGGAAUCAAAGACUGAAGUAAUUGCAGUGCAGAAAGGAACAUUAUUUACAGCGUAGAAAGGAUUGUUUUAUUUCAGAAUUGAAAGCUAUAGCUUCUUUUCAUGGCUUUCUGUAAAACAAGUUAAAAGCAAACAUAGAUCAUGUUUUAUGAUAGGCCAUGAAGAACGAUUUCUGCCUCCACAGCACUUUCACCAACAGAAGUAAUUCCAUUCACUUGAAAAUAGCAACAACAAAAAAAUAAUUAGCUCAGUUGCACAGGCACAUAAAUGCAUGAUCUAUGAGUUCAUAUUAAAGAACAAUCUACAGAUGUGUCCCACCACAUACAAACACUCACUGUAUAGUUGUUACAAGCUGUACCUCUAAAAUUUUUAAUUGGAUAAUAACCAGAAUCUUUUUUCCUCUUAGGGGUCGUGUUAGGCAAAAGGUCUGCAGGGCUGCCUACAGGAUAAAAAUGUUCUACGCCAUUUACCCACAGUUCAAGGCCACCACGCCUGUGCCCUUUUGUGGAUGUCUUGAGGUCCAGCAGCUCAUGCCCACGGGCAAGCUGCUCCCUGGUUCAAGGCUCACCAGCACUGCUGUCGUGGAUUGCGUCCUGGCUUAUGGCUCAAAGCCUACCAGGCUGCCCAUACAUUUUUCCUCUCUGAGAGUUGGCCCUGGCCUGCUGGAGCUCUGUUCCCUGCUGUUUGACUUGUGGCAAAUUAAGCAGUGAUCUUAUCCGGCACAUUUUCUUUCCCUUUUAUGUGUUGCUGAGGAGGCUUUUUUCAGCUUAUCCACACUAGCCAUCACCUUUUUUUGCCCUGCUGCUCAGAUGACCGCCAUCCCCUUAAACAAUUGCCAUCUUUGUUUCUGCAUAGCCAAGCAAAGAUGGGUUGGUAAUUUUGAGACAUCUCACUGAGGAAAUCUAAUGAUUCAACUGAACCUUCUCACCCAAAUCUCUUUCCUGAGAUGCCAAAAGAGGGGAGAGUCUCAGGUUGAUGGCUUAUACAGAAUAACUUUCCUCUGAAUUAUUUGGAAGUCUGGAGAUAACAUUACACACAGGCUAACUCUACUCAGUGCUCUUCAGUUGAAUCUAUAUGCUACAUGAUCAUUAUUUUAAUUGUACCUUCGUUGGAAACUCAUAAAGUUAAAAUGCAAAUGUUUGUUUACUACAGGAACACUGAGACCAUAUACCCCACUGAUGGAAAAGAAAAUGUACAUGUGCAUGUCUGAACUUCAUGUAUCUUCAUUUGUAAAGAACGUUUUUCUUUAAAUAAGAUUAUUAGGAUAAUCUCAUAUAUUAGAAAUAAAUGCUGUUAUUCAA